rnacentral:rRNA from 1 species
AGAGUUUGAUCAUGGCUCAGGAUGAACGCUGGCGGAGUGCCUAACACAUGCAAGUCGAGCGGCAGCGCGAGUAGUUUACUACUUGGCGGCGAGCGGCGGACGGCUGAGUAACGCGUGGGAACAUGCCCCAAAGUGAGGAAUAACUGCCCGAAAGGGUAGCUAAUGCCGCAUACGAUCUUCGGAUUAAAGGAUUUAUCCGCUUUGGGAGUGGCCUGCGUACGAUUAGAUAGUUGGUGAGGUAAUGGCUCACCAAGUCUACGAUCGUUAACUGGUUUGAGAGGAUGAUCAGUCAGACUGGAACUGAGACACGGUCCAGACUCCUACGGGAGGCAGCAGUGAGGAAUCUUCCGCAAUGGACGAAAGUCUGAUGGAGCAACUCCGCGUGCAGGAUGAAGGCCUUCGGGUCGUAAACUGCUUUUACGAGUGAAGAAUAUGACGGUAACUCAUGAAUAAGGGUCGGCUAACUACGUG